GCCUACGGGGGGCAGCAGUAGGGAAUAUUGCUCAAUGGGGGAAACCCUGAAGCAGCAACGCCGCGUGGAGGAUGAAGGUUUUCGGAUUGUAAACUCCUUUUGUUAGAGAAGAUAAUGACGGUAUCUAACGAAUAAGCACCGGCUAACUCCGUGCCAGCAGCCGCGGUAAUACGGGGGGUGCAAGCGUUACUCGGAAUCACUGGGCGUAAAGAGCGCGUAGGCGGGAUAGCAAGUCAGAUGUGAAAUCCUAUGGCUUAACCAUAGGACUGCAUUUGAAACUGUUAUUCUAGAGUAUGGGAGAGGUA
rnacentral:rRNA from 1 species